rnacentral:rRNA from 1 species
CAGCAGCCACGGUAAUACAGAGGGUGCAAGCGUUAAUCGGAAUUACUGGGCGUAAAGCGCGCGUAGGUGGUUCGCCAAGUUGGAUGUGAAAUCCCCGGGCUCAACCUGGGAACUGCAUCCAAAACUGGCGAGCUAGAGUAUGGUAGAGGGUGGUGGAAUUUCCUGUGUAGCGGUGAAAUGCGUAGAUAUAGGAAGGAACAUCAGUGGCGAAGGCGACCACCUGGACUGAUACUGACACUGAGGUGCGAAAGCGUGGGGAGCAAACAGGAUUAGAGACCCCUGUAGUCCCUGUCUCUUAUAA